GACAUUUUCAGAAGAAAGGACUUCUUGUAGCUCAUGGCAUGAAAGGGACUCCCACCAUGACAGUGAGAGCGUCGGGCUGCUUGUUUACGUCUGAGAAGAUCAGGAAACUGAAAGAAGACAAGAAGUGAGGCACCUAUAAAACCUUAAGCCUCAAUCUUUAGUAACCAACUUUCUCCAGGUCACUGGGAUGGUGGUCUUGCUCCUGCAGUUCUGUCAAGCAACGUUACAUCCCAGCUGCUUUACCAGACCUCCUUUGAUAUAAGAUUGCAGUCAUCACCUCAUGACACAUGAUGAAAGUCAUUAUUAAUUUUCUGUUACUCUGACAAGAUAUUGACGUAAUCAACUAUUAGGAGGAUACAGAUUCAGAUCAAGAAAGAGUUCUGACCUGGUACCACAUGGCUGCACUUCAGAUUUCCCGCAGACUGACACUGGUUCCUGGGAAGAAAACAUUCAAAUCGUCCAUGAAGUCCCCAUCUGCCUGUGUGAGAACAUCUGCAGGGAUGGGAGCUCUCCUAAAUUAAGUGGCGGUAAUGCAUCCACUAGUGAGUUUACCCUCUUCAGUGUGCCGCCAAGCUCAGCUUUGAAAUGGCAAUUGUGUUCAGAUGUUUAAAAUGAAGUCCCAUUGAAAGACUCAUCCAGCACUGGUAGUUCCUACCUGAAUUUGAAAAUAUUUAAUUCUACAACGUAUUUACUUGCUGACAAGCCUGUUUUGAUUUCUUAUAAUUGUAUUUUAAAGGUCUAAAUUGAUCAUAUUUUACAUAAAUUUCGCAAUGAUAAACAAAUGUCAAGAUACUGAAUACACUGUCAUAAAGCAGUUUGCAUCAUAAGCACUGGUAUAAUUUUUAAAUGCUUUUGUUGAGCAACUCCUGUAUUUAUUUUUUCUGACCAAACAUUAUGAGAGAGAUACCUCCUAACACACAUGAAGCCCCAAAGAAAAGGUAAUUACAUCUUCCAAACAGCUUAAUGAUGCCCAUUACUCAAUUUUGCUAAUUCCAUAACUGCUGAAGUGUAGGAAGAUGAAUCAAGACACUUGUAGACAGGAGACAAUAUAAAGAGUGGAAAAGUGGAGAUAAUUCAUGAAGUGGUAAUGGAAGUUCUCCCAGUAAGUUGUUUUCAGAAAGUCUUCAGCAUUUUACUAAUGUAGAACCAAAAGUAAUAGUUUAGGAAUUAUUCCAAUGACGUUUCCUUCUAUUAUUUUCAAAUUCUAAAAAUGUUUUGGAUCGGCUGUGGAUGUUGAUGAGUUGGUACAGGGUUUGCCUAGCAUACACAGAGGCCUGGAUUCAAUCGAAGCAUCAUCAAAAC